UACGAAGGGGGCUAGCGUUGUUCGGAAUCACUGGGCGUAAAGGGCGCGUAGGUGGCGAGCCAAGUCCAUGGUGAAAGCUCGAUGCUCAACAUCGAGUCGGCCACGGAUACUGGUGCGCUUGAGCACUGUAGAGGCUAAUGGAAUUCCGGGUGUAGCGGUGGAAUGCGUAGAGAUCCGGAAGAACACCGGUGGCGAAGGCGGUUAGCUGGGCAGUUGCUGACAUUGAGGCGCGACAGCGUGGGGAGCAAACAGG
rnacentral:rRNA from 1 species